CUUCAGUUUUAUACAUAGAUAAAAUGAGGAUUAAAUAUAUGAAUUUACAAUGGAGAAAAAAAGAAUCUUCAGACUUCUAUCUCCAGACAAUAACAUUAACAAACAAAGCAUCAUUAAGGGAUACACUGUAACUUCCAUGAGCAUGACAAAGACAUCAUAACAAGAGGAAACAUGAACAGCAUGAUAUAAUAAAAACACAUAACAAAUCAAUUACAAACAAACCGCGCGCCGCAUAAAGUUACUGAGAAUUGUCGAAAAUUACGCGCUUACCACAGCGCUAUCCAAAAAUCCUGGGGAGAACACUG
rnacentral:lncRNA from 1 species